rnacentral:rRNA from 1 species
AACCAGCACCUCAAGUGGUCAGGAUGAUUAUUGGGCCUAAAGCAUCCGUAGCCGGCUCUGUAAGUUUUCGGUUAAAUCUGUACGCUCAACGUACAGGCUGCCGGGAAUACUGCAGAGCUAGGGAGUGGGAGAGGUAGACGGUACUCGGUAGGAAGGGGUAAAAUCCUUUGAUCUAUUGAUGACCACCUGUGGCGAAGGCAGAUCACUAACACUAUGUUGACGCUGAGGGACGAAAGCGUGGGGAGCGAACAGG